GGGAAUGUGGCUUAAUGGUAGAGUGCUUGCCUAGUAUGCAUGAAUCAAACCCUGGGUUCGAUUCCUCAGUACCA
rnacentral:tRNA from 1 species